rnacentral:rRNA from 1 species
GACGAACGCUGGCGGCGUGCUUAACACAUGCAAGUCGAACGGUGAAGCGCCUUCCUUUUUGGUGGGUGUGGAUGAGUGGCGAACGGGUGAGUAACACGUGAGUAACCUGCCCCCUUCUUCUGGAUAACCGCAUGAAAGUGUGGCUAAUACGGGAUAUUCUGGGUCUGUCGCAUGAUGGGUCUGGGAAAGAUAUUGUUUCGGUGGGGGAUGGGCUCGCGGCCUAUCAGCUUGUUGGUGGGGUGAUGGCCUACCAAGGCGGUGACGGGUAGCCGGCCUGAGAGGGUGGACGGUCACACUGGGACUGAGACACGGCACAGACUCCUACGGGAGGCAGCAGUGGGGAAUAUUGCACAAUGGGCGCAAGCCUGAUGCAGCGACGCCGCGUGAGGGAUGGAGGCCUGCGGGUUGUGAACCUCUUUCGACAGUGAAGCAGGCCUGCCUCGUUUGUGGGUGGGUUGACGGUAGCUGGAUAAGAAGCGCCGGCUAACUACGUG